GUCAGGUUGGACGAAGACUACUGCUACCAUAUUCCCUGCAAGCAACAAAAAAGGAAUAGUGUGAUGGAGAUAAGAAUUCUACCUGUUAUGGAAAUAAGAAUCCCAUCUGUUUGCUUCAAGGGAAAUCUCAGCCUGGCAAAGACACUCAUGAUACAUGGCACACCCACAUUGAUCAGCUGGAGUCGCUCCUGCUCUGGGGCAUCAAGGCCAAGGAUGGCAAGUGUGGCAGCAAGUUGGUGGUGGCUCACCCCAAAGCCCAGGAACUGGUUCACAGCAUCCAGUACAUCAACAGGAUAAGACACCAGAUGCUCAUGGUGAAGCACCUGAAAUACAUCCAACAUGACGGUUAAUGUGCAAAUGCAUUAUUAGUUCACAAUUUAUGACGUGUAGUUGGAUCCACUUGUUAAGCAUGUAUCCAUUCAUUCCUGGCAAAAUUGUUUUGACACUUAAAAUGCCUUUGAUUAUGUAGAUCACUCAGUCACCAUCUGAAAUUUUUCCUAGGAUGUUGAUCAUCACUAUUCAACUGGAAAUUUCUUCACUGGAUGAAAUGCUGUAAUACAUUGGCUGAAUGGGGCAAAAUCACAGGUGGAGUGCCUCAGGGAACCUACUUAGGACCAUUAUUUUUAGUAAAUAGCAUUUGUUAUGUCAGAAACUACCAUACAUUGUAUGUAGAUGACUUAGCACAAGCAGAAAUUGUGAAAGUUAAAAAUACAAUUGAGUACAAGAAGCAAGAAAAAUUUAAAAUGAUCUAGCCUCUGACUGCCAAAAUGUAAGACCAUUACCAAUGUGAAGCCAUGAUGAUUCACUAUCGAGGCCAACUGUACACCCAAUUGAAUUAAUGUUUUUGCCAAUUGUACAAGAACAUAAAUCACUUGGUGUGUAUAUUAAUUCAUCUUUAAAUUUAAAUCAUGUGAAGGAAUUCAGAAAACCAACACAUCCAUAGUGUAUAAUAUUCAUAUUGUAUAGAGCUCAAAAAUUUGGAUUCAGCAUGCGAGUCAUCUUGAAAACGUACACAUAAUUUAUUCAGUCAUCCCUUGAGUAUACUGCACCUGUUGGGUGGGUAUAGAAAGAUGCAUUACAAUAAUUUAAGGUCAAAAUUAUAUUAGCUCUGGUACAGAUCUAAGUGUGCCACAUAAUACAGUAGAAAUGAGGAAUUAAUCCUUUGACUGCUAUUUAGCAUAACUUUCCUUAAUCACCAAUGACUCUUGAGACAUCUUUAUUUGUUCUACAGCUACAUCCAAUCUUUAACUUGGAAGAAAUUGCAAAAUAUUUUUUUCAAUCCCCUUCUUUCUUGUAGAGGUUUAUAAAGAUUUCAUACAUUACUUCUGGUGGUAUUAAUCGUUUCAUAUUGCAGUGAAAGGGUUGACAUGGUGGUGUUAAUUGUUUCAUAUUGCAGUGAAAGGGUUAACAAUCAGAUUAUGUAAAGGCCUCCUCUGGGCAUCCAACCAUUGUCACUUGUUUCCACAGUAUUUACAUGACAAACAUGGCAGAAACACAAGGUUUAGUGGAUACUUGUUGCAGGUUGUCAGAUGUAAAAUUGCAAGAUACAGGAAUUCCAACAUUCUAUGCAUGGCAUCUAAGCUUUAUGAUAUUCAAUAACCACUAUCUCAAGAGAUGCCAAAGUAAAAUAAGUUAAUAUACUU